AUGGAUGAACGACCGCGCCCUCCCCCGCGGUUCCGUUUCGAGAACUUCUGGCUCCGGCAACCAGGCUUUGUGGAAGCCGUCCAGACCCACUGGGUCUCGGCUCGUGCCGAGCCCCAUAGGCAGAUGUUGAUCCUCGAAGAAUGGCAUCAUUUGUCCAAACGAUCCCGACAGUUUAUGAAGGGAUGGGGGGCAAACAUUGGGCGAGAUCUUCGUAUUCAGAAGGCCUCCCUCCUCGGGGAUAUCCGGGACCUUGACCUCCAUGCAGAUAUCGCAGGGAUCUCCGCGGAGGAAUGGAUGCAUAGAUAUAAAUUGGAGGACUUCCUUAUGGAGAUUUACUCCAAGGAGGAAGAGUUUUGGCGCCAACGCGGUUCCAUUAACUGGGUGCUAUUCGAGGACGCCAACACUGCUUACUUCCAGGCCAUCGCUAAUGGCCGUAGGUGACGUUCUUCCAUCCCCCUCCUUUGGGAGGGUGGACAGUUGUUCCAAGACCCUCAGGCUAUCCGCUUGCUAGUUGACGACUUCUACAAGUCACUGUUUCAGGGUCGUCCGCGGAAUGGUGUCGCCCUUGCCAACCACAUCUGGUCACGCGACCAAUAGAUUCCCGAGGAAAAUGCGACCCUGCUGGCCCCCUUUGAUGCUGCGGAAGUGGAGACCUUUGUCCAAGCUAUGAACACGACGUCGGCCCCAGGCCCCGAUGACUUGCCGGUUCGCUUUUUCCAGGCCUUCUGGCCGAUGGUCAAGGAUAUCAUCCUUGAUCUUUUCAACGAGUUUUCUAGGGGCACCCUAGACAUGUCCCGACUUAACUAUGGGAUUAUCUCCUUGAUUCCCAAGGUGCCGGGAGUGGCGGACAUUAGACAAUUCUGUCCUAUCACAGUCCUUAAUGUGAUAUUUCGGAUUCUCGCCAAAGGGUACGCCACUAGGGCAGCCCUUAUUGCUCCUUGA
rnacentral:rRNA from 1 species